rnacentral:lncRNA from 10 species
CUACAGGGGUGUGCCAUCACACUCAGCUAAUUUUUUUAUUUUGUAGAGACAGUUUCUCACUAUUUUGCCCAGGCUAGUCUUGAACUCCUGGCCUCAAGUGAUCCUCCCGCCUCAGCCUCCCAAAACACUGGGAUUACAGGCAUGAGCCACUGUGCCCAGCCCUGCACAAAAAUGUUUAUAGCAGCUUUAUUCAGAAUUGCCAAAACUUGGAAGCAACCAAGAUGUCUUGCAAUAGGUGAAUGGAUAAACCCGUUGUACAUCCAGACAAUGGACUAUUAUUCAGCACUAAGAAAAAAUGAGCUAUCAAACCACAAAAAGACAUGGAGGAAACUUAAAUGCAUCUUGAAAGAAGCCAGUCCAAAAAGGUUACAUACUGUUUGAUUCUAACCAUAUGACUGUAAAAAGAUGAUGGUUGCCGGGCUUCAGUGAAAGGAAGGGAGGGAUGAGUCCAUGGAACACAGGUGAUUUUGAGGGCAGUGAAACUAUUCCUGCAUGAUACUCUAAUGGUGGAUACAUAACAUUAUAUACUUUUCAAAACUCAUAGAACUGUGCAAGACCAAAAGCGAAUCUUAACGUAAACAGUGGACUUAAGUUAAUGAUAAUGUAUCAGUAUCCAUUCACUAACUAUAAUAAAUGUAUCACACUAAUGCAAGAUGUUAAUAAUAGGGGAAACUGCCUGUAGGGGAAGGGGAAGGAAAUAUAUGAGAGCUCUCUGUACUUUCUCUUCAGUUUUUCUAUAAACUUAAAACUGUUCUAAAAGUAAAAUAUAUUAAUUUAAAAAAGAAAGACUAAAGAGAUUGUUCAUCAACACCUAACAAAAUACCUGGCACAGAGUAGACACGCCAUAAAUGUUUAUUGAAUAAAUUGAUAAACAAAUGAGUCAACCAGUGGUUCAGUAGAACCCAGGCCCCCUGAGUCCCAGUUCAGUACUCCUUCUUGUACAUCAGAGCUAGAGUAACAGUAUAGUUUAUUGUCCAAACCAGGAUAUUUGAGAGUGAAAUGGGGUGCCUUAGGUAUAAAUCAAGACUGUUUCAGAGAUAACCAGAAAUCACAAACUGGCAGUCCAUAAGCUACAUCUCGCCUCCAAAAUUGUUCUGUUUGGCCACUCAUCUUAAUGCCUCAUAUGAUAUUCUUUUAAAAUGUCAGUCAUUUGCCCAAAUUUAACACAGUGGAAACUGCAUAAAAAUGUGAAAUUUGGACUUCUCUUGGAAAAUGGAAGGACUCGGUCCCAUGGGGCCGACAGGACUGCACAGUGGUGAGUGGCUGGAGCUGAGCAGCAGCUGCCCACUUUUGCCAGCAGGUACCUUCCUCUUUGCCACAAGCCCCACCAGUCCCUUUUGUAUCUCUUACUCUAGGCCAAGUGUGAGUUUCCAUUUACACUGUCUUGGUUUUGUUUUCUUCUGUGGCAGAGUUAAGAAAAAAGGGAAAUAUUUCUUACACUUAUGUCAUGAUUCAAAGUAAGAAAAUGAAAAAAGGAUCAAGAGGGCCCCUUGUGUCUUGCCCCCAGCCUGCUUUACAAACAGUAUAUUCUUGGCCUCUCUAGGCAGUUGAGUCUGCCCGCUGUGGUCUGAACUUCUUGUCUCCCUAGGCCCCAGCCUGUGCUAGCCUUUAGAAUUUUCUCAGGCUGCCACCCACUGCUGGAAAAGCUAGAUGUGAGGGGAAAACAAUGGGCAUUAUUUAAGCUUGCAUUUUUAUUGUUACCCCAAUUCAACAUUGCUCAUCAUCAACUUCUUGGUGAAAAUUAUUUCUGUUGUUUUUCUUAAUUGCCUCCAAAUUUAACUGGAGAGUGAGGCAGAGCAGCAGAGGAGUACAGCACCCACCUUUCCUCCCUGCGAACAUGUCUUGUUGGAAUGCUUUGACAUGGAAUUUUGUUCAUCCUUGCAUUCAGUCAUUCCCCUAGCUCUGGCUAUACUUACAGAUGGAAGGACUCUCACUUCACACCAGUGUCCCCUGUAGGUUGUCCUCAGCUGAGGCAACAACACAAGCGAAGGUGUGGAAACAGGAAAGCAUGGAUGGGGCCCAUUUACGCUAAGGAGUUGGACUUCAUUCAUAGGUGGUAGGUCGGGA